rnacentral:rRNA from 1 species
GAUGAACGCUGGCGGCGUGCCUAAUACAUGCAAGUCGAGCGAACAGACGAGGAGCUUGCUCCUCUGACGUUAGCGGCGGACGGGUGAGUAACACGUGGAUAACCUACCUACAAGACUGGGAUAACUUCGGGAAACCGGAGCUAAUACCGGAUAAUAUAUUGAACCGCAUGGUUCAAUAGUGAAAGACGGUUUUGCUGUCACUUAUAGAUGGAUCCGCGCCGCAUUAGCUAGUUGGUAAGGUAACGGCUUACCAAGGCAACGAUGCGUAGCCGACCUGAGAGGGUGAUCGGCCACACUGGAACUGAGACACGGUCCAGACUCCUACGGGAGGCAGCAGUAGGGAAUCUUACGCAAUGGGCGAAAGCCUGACGGAGCAACGCCGCGUGAGUGAUGAAGGUCUUCGGAUCGUAAAACUCUGUUAUUAGGGAAGAACAAAUGUGUAAGUAACUAUGCACGUCUUGACGGUACCUAAUCAGAAAGCCACGGCUAACUACGUG